rnacentral:tRNA from 1 species
GGCAGUUUAGCUUAAUCGGUCUAAAGCACCGCGGCGCGUAAUCGCGGAGGUGUGAGUUCGAGUCUCAUAGGUGGCC